AAUAGCCGAAAGGCCGAACCAGCAACUUGGAAGAAUGUAUUAUAAACAUUUUUAUAUAAAGUUCUAAGUAAAAAAUAAAUGAUAAUGACAAAAAUUUACUUAUAAGUCUUGACCAAAUUACGUGCCAGCAGUCGCGGUAAUACGUAGAAGACAAGUGUUAUUCAUAUUUAUUGGGUUUAAAGGGUAACUAGAUAGAAUACUAAGCCAUAGUAGGAACUAAUAUUCUAGAGUUUAAAAUAAGAAAGCAGAACUUUAUGAAGAGUGUUUUAAUAUUAUGAAACAUAAAGGACUGGUAACGGCGUAGGCAACUUUCUAUAUAUAACUGACAUUGAGGUACGAAGCUCUAGGUAGCGAAAAGGAUUAGAUACCCUAAUAGUCUAGAGAGACAAUUAUGAAUGCCAUAGAAAUAAAAUUUUUAUAAAUGAAAGUGUAAGCAUUCCACCUUAAGACUAAGGCGGCAACGCACAAAAUGAAAUCAUUAGACCGUUUUUGAGACCAGUAGUGAAGUAUGUUAUUUAAUUCGAUGAUCCGCGAAUAACCUUACCAUAUUUUGAAUACUAUUUAAUUAGUACAAGCGUUGCAUGGCUGUUUUUAGUUAAUGUCGUGAGAUUUGACAAACAU
rnacentral:rRNA from 1 species